GCCGCGUCAGGUAGGGGCUCUCACUCGUAAUGAUGGGGUCCGCGGUUCGAAUCCGCGCGUCGGCU
rnacentral:tRNA from 1 species